ensembl:miRNA
CCCAGGGCCGCGCCCGGAGCGCAGCGUCCUGGUCCUGGUCCUGGUCCUCUCCCAGCCC